UGGGGAAUUUUGGACAAUGGGCGAAAGCCUGAUCCAGCAAUGCCGCGUGUGUGAAGAAGGCCUUCGGGUUGUAAAGCACUUUUGUCCGGAAAGAAAUCCUUGGCUCUAAUACAGUCGGGGGAUGACGGUACCGGAAGAAUAAGCACCGGCUAACUACGUGCCAGCAGCCGCGGUAAUACGUAGGGUGCAAGCGUUAAUCGGAAUUACUGGGCGUAAAGCGUGCGCAGGCGGUUUGCUAAGACCGAUGUGAAAUCCCCGGGCUCAACCUGGGAACUGCAUUGGUGACUGGCAGGCUAGAGUAUGGCAGAGGGGGGUAGAAUUCCAUCGUGUAGCAGUGAAAUGCGUAGAGAUGUGGAGGAAUACCGAUGGCGAAGGCAGCCCCCUGGGCCAAUACUGACGCUCAUGCACGAAAGCGUGGGGAGCAAACAGGAUUAGAUACCCUGGUAGUCCACGCCCUAAACGAUGUCAACUAGUUGUUGGGGAUUCAUUUCCUUAGUAACGUAGCUAACGCGUGAGUUGACCGCCUGGGGAGUACGGUCGCAAGAUUAAAACUU
rnacentral:rRNA from 1 species